AGGUUACUGCUAUCGGUGUUCGCCUAAGCCAUGCGAGUCAUAUGUUCUUCGUGAACAUGGCGUACUGCUCAGUAACACGUGGAUAACCUGCCCUUGGGACCGGGAUAACCCCG
rnacentral:rRNA from 1 species